ACCGUGCCGGGCGGUGCCGCAAGGCGUAUCCCGGAUGAGGAUAAGACGGUGAGUGCCUCACAUCGGAAAACCCCGUCAGGC
rnacentral:ncRNA from 1 species